rnacentral:lncRNA from 1 species
CUCACAGGGGCAUUGUCGUCAUUUUUCUUUGAAAAUACAGAAACUCGCCAAAAACAUGGUGUAAAUGCUAAAUAUGUUCAUACAUACUUAAAAUCAGAUAACUGAAGUAUAAAAUUACUUUUACAGUGACACGUGAGCCCACAUCUAACCAAAAUGCAUCAAAAGUUGAAAACCUACAGCUUUUGCAGAUUCAAGUCCAAAUGAAGGUCCUUGUCAAAGUCAGCUGACUAUGGAAUUCCCCGAGCCAGAAAUAUGAGGAAAGGAGGGUGGUGAGAUUAUCAAAUCUCAAUUAGUAAACAAUUACCAUCAAAAGCAUCUAAAGCCGAGAAGAUAGAGACAAUAUAAAAACGUUACAUCUCAAUAAUGUUCAUAAUGCAAAAUUCAUUUCAAUCUGUACCAAUGUAAAGCCCGACUUUAUAAAAUACUUGUCAUGACAUACAUGUGAUGGAUAGCAUGUUUGCAUGCUAGGAGAGUCUCGAAAAAUUUACAAAAGUCGGUAUUGUACCUAGAGGUACAACAAAGUUGAUUUAAGCCUUGAACUAGUUCAAAUAGGAAUUUUAAGGUGAAAUUGAGAGUUUCACGGUCCAGGGAUGACUCAAAUUGGUAAUUCGGAGUUCGAGAAUUAAUUCGAAGUCAAAUCAAAAUUUUCACUAUCUAGGGGUAAAAUGGUAAUUUUGACACCUAAGGAUAAAAUUGGAAUAUUGGAAGAAGUUUUUGAUCAAGAUUGAUCACAUUUGACUCAUUGGACUAUAAUUUGAGGUUGAUAAGUGAAAAAAAUUGUAAUCCCGGUAUUUUCAGAGCAUAGGGGUAAAAUGGUAAUUUUGCCACCUCAGGGGCAAAAUUGUAAUUUUACACACCCGACACUUGUCCAGCACAUGGAUUUUAUCCAAUAUUAUCAUGGAUAAUUGAAGGAAUUUAAGUGGUGGAGAGAGAAAGCUUAAUAGUUAAGAAAUUAAAAAUGGACCAAUGGGAUGGUGACAUGUGUCAAGUUAAUAUCUAUUUAUUUUUUUAGCUUUAAAAUCAGCAAAAAUCAGCUUAUUUUCUCUUCAUGUGGCCAGCCAUAGCAAGAAAAAAGAGAGGAAAAGAAAAACAAGAAACCUAGGUGGGAAAAUUAAAGAAAAAGUGUAUGAUUUCAAGGAAUCAAGCAAUCAAAGGUAAAAUUUCUUGAUUUUGACUUGUGAUCUACCUUUCCCAUGCUUUUCUCCUUAUUUUUCAUGGUUAGAUUUCAUGUUUUCAUGGUAAAUUCAUGGCUGCCCAAAUGGGUAUGGAGAGAGAAUGAAGUUAGAUUGAUUUGAUUUUAAGUUAUGUUAGUGUUUUAAGUUAGUUUAGCAUAUUUAGAAACAAAACAACAAGAAAAGAAUUCAUUUUCCCCCAUUACCAUCAUUGGCUGAAUUUCCUAGGGAGAAUAUUGUGGCUGAAUUUGAUGAUAUUUCAUGAUUUUUUGGUGAUAUUUGAUGUUUGGUGAGGCUAGAAAUUAAAUGGGAAAUUUUGGUGCAAAAAUACGAAUUUUUGCUCAACAUAUAGACAUGUGUAAUUAUUGACCCGGGACCGAUAAAUUGAACCUCAUUCACAUUCAUUGAGGUAAUUUAGAUAUAAUUGGAGUGUAGAAAGUGAAAAGAAUCGAUUUGGAAUUAAAUUGAAGAUUUUAGCCGAUUAGACCGAGAAUAGUGUGAAUUAGGUCGAAUAUCGUAUUUAAACGGCUAUUCGGAUAUUUUUGCAUUCCAUAUCAUGCAUUAGUAGUCUAAAUUAGUUUAAUUUCAAUUUAAUAUCAAUGUGGUGAAUUUCUCAAUUUUGUACUGUGUCAAGGUGGUGAGUCCUCUGAUAAACGCAAAGAAAUUGCAUCCGAGGACCAGUAGACAGAAUACUUCGAAAGUCUGCAUUCUAGACAUUGUGAGUAAACUUACUGUCAUUUUAAUUAUCUAAGGUGGUUUUUAGAUGAUUUUAUGAAUUCUAUGGAAAAAUAGAUUUAAAAGGUAAAUUUUCAUGUUUUAUGAAUAAAGGUGUUCCAAUGAAAUUAAAUUAUAAAUUGUUUUGAAAUUAAUAAUGAUUUUGAAAAAAAUAGAGUACGCGGAGACUGUUAAUUGUGGCAAUUUGAUUGUUUAAAUUGAUGGCUUAUGUUAUAUUGUUAUUGUGUUGGCAUAACUGGCUAGGCUAUGUUUUAUGAAUUGUAUGAAUUGUUUUAUUUUACCCUUGCAGGCUAGGUAGUAUUUCAUUAGCCCUGUCAUGCUAUCAAAACUUUAUUAUAUGGUAGAUUAUAUAUUAAUUAAUCACUACAGUAGGGUGUUUCUGUGGACCAGCCUUUUAGAAGGGCACAAUAAACCCCAUUAUAUUCUUACCUUGAACGGAGAGGCGCGUAGGGUAUCUCUUGGGGUAAAGUUUAGGGUUCACUUCACGUUAAACCACCACGUGAGGGUGAACUCAGCCAACGCCAAGAAACGGCUGUGAUGUCCAACGAAAAAUGUGUUUUAUGUGAAAUGUGAAUUUUUAACAGCCUUGGCCGUCUCGGUAGGAUGCCUCAGCCAAGGUGUCCUCGAGGAUGGAUUUAUGGCACAAGCCUAGUUUUUAUGAGAUUCAUAAGCCUCUUUACGUAUUUUAAAUGAAAUGUAAUCUAACGUUGUGACCCAGUUUACGAUGAUUUACUUUAUUAUCUCAACGUACUCAACUCUAGAUGUUUAUGAUGAUGUCUGUUUACUUAUUAGGAUUUUAUAAUCUCACCACCCUCAUUUCCAUCCAUUUCAGGUUCAGUAUAAACUAUAGAUAGCUAAUCUCAUCGAGGACUACCGUUGGAUCUGCAUUUUCCAAACCGUAGGUUCACAGUCCUUUUUACUUUUGUUUAUUCGAGGGCCCUCUUGUUAUUGUAAAUUAAAUUAAAUAUUUUGGCUUACUGUAUUACAGUAUGUAUAAAUUAUUUAGCUUUUACGCUACAAAAAUUAUUUACGUAUAACUCUAAAAAUAUUAUUUCAUAAGAAAAUAGAAUAUUUUACUUAAUAUUUCUUUUAUUUUCUUAUUAUAUUCAAAUAACCAUAAUUUCGUUUUAAAUGAAGAUUUUAGACUUUAAGACUCACUUUUGAUUAUGAAUUAUAUGUUUCGUACUUGUAUAUUACUAGCCGGUUUCGAAAUUUUUGGGAAAAAAUUACUAAAAUACCCUUGUGAGACGAAAAUUAUUAUUUUAUUUGUUUUGAGUUGGAAACAACUUAAAAUCUUCUAGAACAUGAUUUUCGACAACGGUUACUCACGGGGGAAAUGAGAUACUGAUAUUAAGCCUUGCGGGGUCCCAGUUAGCAUUCCCGAAAAUGAGUGUCUAUCGGGGUACCGCGGUGGUUGUCACGGGCUCGAGGGGAGUACCGGGUCAUGACAACCAAAUAAUUUCUUUUCAUCAAGAUUUCUCUAGCUUAUGAGUUUCUUAAACUUGGCCUCUGCCAGAAUCAUUCUCGCGGGUACCUUCGUCAAGGUAUCCCACUGAGACCACCAAGGCUGUUAAAUAUCCCAUACCCAUAAACAUGUUUUCGUAUCUGACACACAGCCGUUCCUUGGCGUUGGCUGAGUCUCACUCUCAAGUGGUGGCUUGAACAUGAGGUGCACUCAAAUCUUACCUCAGGAGAUUCUUCCUCCAACAUCUCCCCCCGAAGGUAAAUAUAUAAUUGGGUUACCGUACCCCUCUCAUAGGCAGUACACGAAAACCCCCACCACUGCAGUGACCAUUUAAUAUACCACCAGACCCAUAAAAUUUUCAGUAGCAUAAUAUGGCAAAUAAAAUUUAAUCCAGUCUACCGAGACCAAUCCAAAACUGUUCAUAUAUUUCAUGCCAACUCCAAAAAUUUAGCCAUCAUGCUACCAUAGUGUCAUAAGCCAUAAUUUCAAUAACAUAUAAAAUCAUAAAUUCAACACUGUCUCCAUAUACUCAAUUUUUCCAAAAUAAUAUUUGAUUUCAAAACUAGUAUAAAUCUCAUUUUUAUUAAAAAAAACAUUUAAAUUGGAAAACAUAAUAUUUUAUAAUUUAAAUUCACCAUUCAAUAAAAGCAUCAAACAAGUAUAAUUACUCUAGAUAUUAAAAACGAUAAAUUGUCCACUCACAGUUCUAGGAGUCGAUAUACUCCUAAUCCUAGUCUUCAAGCACAAUCUCUGUACUUUUACAAGUGUAAUUUGCUCACCACCUAUCCACAAUGUACAAUACAUAAUUCACCACAUUAAUGCUUGACCAUUAUAAAAUCAAUUCAAGCUCGGUGUAUAUGUAUGAUAUGAUAUGCAACUUAUCCGACUACCGCUUAAAUGUGGUGCUGACCUAAUUCGGCCUAUUACCUGAUUAAAUGACAAUUGUGUUCGAUUUGGCUCCAAAUUGCUCCAUUUCAUUUCUAAUAUUUCAAUUCACUAAAUACAAUUCCAAUAAUCUAAAAUUCAGCCUAACAACCCUCACAAUUCUUCUUGAAAAUUUUGGCCAUUGUGGUGCACUAUCACUAAAAAUUUUCCCAUUCUAUUUUCUCACCAUAAAUCAUCAUUUCAUCAAUUUUUCAACCAAUUCACUUGAUCACAAAAUCAAUUCAUUACUUCUACACUUCACAUAGGGUUCGACCAUUGAAGGUUCAUGGGGGAAAAUGGAUUCCUUUCAUGUUGUUUUGCUUCUAAAUAUGCUAAACUAACUAAAAACACUAACAUAUCUUAAAAUCAAAUCAAUCUAACAUUUUUCUCUCUCCAUACCCAUUUUGACCAGUCAUGAAUUCAUCAUGAAAACAUGUAAUUUAACCAUGAAAAAUGAGGAGCAAUGCUGUCACGACCCAGAACUCCUAUCGGGCCCGUGACAACCGUCGCGACGUCUCAAUAGACACUCGUUACCCCGAAUGCCGAUCGAAACUUCGCAAGGCUUAGUAUCAGCUUUCGCAUCUCCCCGGUGAGCGACAGUUAUUAAAUCUCGCAUUUCAAGAAAUCAUAAGUCGUUUUCAAAUCAAAAUAAUAAAAUAUUAUUUUCUGACUCACAAGGGCAUUUUCGUCAUUUUUCUUCAAAAAUAUCGAAACCCGCCAAAAGCAUGGUGUAAAAGAUAAAUAUGUUCAUACAUACUUUAAAGCAGAUAAUUGAAGUAUAAAAUUACUUUUACAGUGACACAUGGGCCCCCAACUGACUAAGAAGGUGUAGGGCUACGAACCCUUACUUUCUAGGACGAAACUCCGAGAUUAAUUCUCGUCUUAAUCAACUAUCAACAAACUAUUCUGAGCCUGAAAAAUGGAUAGGAAGAGGGGUGAGAUUAUGAUUACAUAAUCCCAGUGAGUAAACAGACACCAUCUAAACUAUCUAAAGGCAAGUAAAGGGAGACAAUUAAAAAUAGUUCAUUUCAGCAAAUUUUUCACAACACGAAUAUUAAUUUCAACCAAAUAAUCAAUAUGGCUCGUGAAUUUCUCAAAACUUGGCUCCUGCCAAAAUCAUUCUUGCGGGUAUCUUCGUCAAGGUAUCCCACUGAGACCGCCAAGGCUGUUAAAAAUUCAUAUUUCGCAUAAAACACAUUUUUCGUUGAACAUCACAGUCGUUCCCUGGUGUUGGUUGAGUCUCACUCUCACGUGGUGGUUAACAUGAAAUGCACUCAAAAAGCCCACCUCAGGAGAUACCCUACACGCCUCUACGACUGAGAAUAUAAAGGAGUUUACCGUGCCCCUCUAAUAAGCUGGUCCACAGAACCCCUACCACUGCAGUAGCUAAUCUUUAAUCCACCAAUUGAUCAAAUCUUAAUGGCAUAGCAUAGCAAUUACAUUACUAACCAAUUUAUCAAGGCAAAACAGAUAGUUCAUAUUUUUCAACACAGGUAUAAAUUCAGCCAAUCAUGCCAAUUUAUCACAAGCCAUUUAAUUCAAAUCAUAAUUUACAAUAAAUCACAUGGUCUCCAAUUACUCAAAUUUUCAAAGCCAUCAUUCAAUUUCAAGACAAUUUUAUGAAAUUAUUUUAUAAAAUCACAAUUUCUCCUAAAACAUAGCAAUUUACCAUUUAAACCCAUUUUCUACAAAAUCACACAAUUGUAUAAAACUACUCUAGAUAAUUAAGACGAUAAUAAGUUCACUCACAGUAUUUGGAGUAGAAAUGCUCCUAUUUUCAGUCCGCAAGUACAGUCCUUUACCCGUAUCCAAUGGCUCACCACCGAGCCAUAAUCCAUGACACAUAUUCCAAUUAAAUUGUAUCAACAGUCAUAAGCUAUUUUAGGCUCGAUAUAUAUAUGCAUGAUAUGAAAUGAAAAAUACACAGGUAGCCAUCUACACCCGGUAUUGGCCUAAGUCGAUUUUUCAUCCGAUAAAUUGGCCAAUGCAUCCAAUUUCACUCCAACUUGCUCCAUUUCUUUUCUAAUCCCUCAAUUCACCAAGCACAACUAAUUAACACACAAUUAGGCAAAUUUAUCUUCACUUUUCUUCUUGGAACUUUCGGCCAUUGUGGUGCACUAUCACUAAAAAUUUUCCCAUUCCAUUUUCUCACCAUAAAUCAUCAUUUCAUCAAAUUUUCAACUAAUUCACUUGAUCACAAAAUUAAUUCAUUACUUCUACACUUCAUAUAGGGUUUGGCCAUUGAAGGUUCAUGGGGAAAAUGGAUUCUUUUCUUGUUGUUUUAUUUCUAAACAUGUUUAACUAACUCUAAACACCAACAUAACUCAAAAUCAAACAAUUCCAACAUCUUUCUCUCUCCAUACCCAUUUUGACCAGCCAUGAUUUCAUCAUGAAAACAUGUAAUUUAACCAUGGAAAUUAAGGGAAAAUGCAUGGGUAAGGUAAAUCACUAGCAAAAUCAAAGAAAUUUUACCUUUGCUUGAUCAAAUCCUUGAAUUCCAACACUUUCUCUUUGAUUUUUCCCACCUAGGGUUUGUUCUUCCUUGGUUUCUCAUCUCUUCUGGUUUGGCUGAUCACUAUGGGAGAAAUGGGCUGAUUUUUUACCUUUUUAUAAAGAAAUAAUAAUAUAGUAAAAACAUGACACAUGGCAUUUCCUUAUUGGUUCAAAUUUUAAAUAUUUGACUUUUAAUUCUUUAAUUCUCCACCACACAUUUCUCAUGUUUAUCCAUUUCCAUGAUGAAUAAAAUCCCUUGGUCUGGAGAAAUGUCGGGGUGAAAAUUUACCGAUUUGCCCCCGGGGUGGCAAAAUUACCAUUUCGUCCCUAUACUCCAAAUUAUACCGAAAUUAAAAUUUUUCACUUCUAAAACUCAAAUCAUACUCCAAUAAGUCAAAUGGGGCCAAAAAAUCUUUUUUAAAAAUUUCCAUUUUUGUCCCCAAGUAGCAAAUGAUCAUUUUGCCCCUAGAUAGUGAAAAUUCUGAUUUCACUCCAAAUUGAUCAUUGAACUCUGAAUUACCAUUUUGAGUCAUCCCUGAACUGUGAAACUCUUAAUUUCACCUUAAAAUUCCUAUUUGAAUUAGUUCGAGGCUUAAUCGACUUAAUGGUAACAUUAGGGGCAAUAUCGUCUUUUAACGAUUUCUCAAACUUCCUAAAUAUGCAAACAUUCUAUUGAGCAUGUAAAUGACGUCAUAAUUAUUUUAUAGAACAGGAUUUGACAAAUGCUUAAGGAAAAUAGACUUCAAGUUGAAAUUGAAAAAUCUUACCUUUUUCACUUAUUUUCCCUGAUUUUUCACACUUUUUCUCUUCAAAUUCCCCACCUAGGGUUUGUUCUCUUCCUUUUUCCCUUUGUUCUUG